UACGUAGGGGGCUAGCGUUGUCCGGAAUCAUUGGGCGUAAAGCGCGUGUAGGCGGCCCGGUAAGUCCGCUGUGAAAGUCGGGGGCUCAACCCUCGGAUGCCGGUGGAUACUGUCGGGCUAGAGUACGGAAGAGGCGAGUGGAAUUCCUGGUGUAGCGGUGAAAUGCGCAGAUAUCAGGAGGAACACCAAUUGCGAAGGCAGCUCGCUGGGACGACACUGACGCUGAGGCGCGAAAGCGUGGGUAGCAAACAGG
rnacentral:rRNA from 1 species